rnacentral:lncRNA from 1 species
UGCCACUCUACCCCAUAUAGGAUUGGAAGGCACCAAGAAACAAGCAAACAGUACCGGCAUCUAUGUGUUGCACAUUAAGCGCAUGCAACAUGGAUGAAAAACACAUGUGUCCGAACGUGCAAUCUUGGGCUUGCAGCGCAGUUGUAAGAGCAGCUAGGGUCAUGCUAGUAGCUGUGAUGACAGCACAGAGAGGAAUGUUGCUCAAUGAAAGGCACUCGGAGUUCCCCAUUUGCUUCUAUAACCAUACAUCUAUGUGAAAAUGUCAUCUAUGGUGAGAAAAUCAUAGCCGUACGUAGUCCUCCCGAGUCAAGCCCUAGCCACAAAUGGACGCUAGCACAUCUACGCCCUACGUUUCUGGCGCGUACGCGUGGAUAUCAAUAGAGACACUGCCAAAUUACGAUGUUAAUCGGCAAAGUUACACGAUGAGGUGUAGGUGCGUGAAAGAGAAGGUCAGACAACACCGAUCAACUACUUUAUCUACAUCGACACGUGACAGUUGUCAGAUCGCCUAACUCUACUUCGGUUUUUUAGCACGUUCUUCAGCUGCACAACGC